CCUACGGGAGGCAGCAGUGGGGAAUAUUGCACAAUGGGGGGGACCCUGAUGCAGCAAUGCCGCGUGAAGGAUGAAGGUUUUCGGAUUGUAAACUUCUUUUGUACGGGACGAAGAAAGUGACGGUACCGUAAGAAUAAGCCACGGCUAACUACGUGCCAGCAGCCGCGGUAAUACGUAGGGGGCAAGCGUUAUCCGGAUUUACUGGGUGUAAAGGGAGCGCAGGCGGGAAGCCAAGUCAGCUGUGAAAACUACGGGCUUAACUUGUAGACUGCAGUUGAAACUGGUUUUCUUGAGUGAAGUAGAGG
rnacentral:rRNA from 1 species